rnacentral:rRNA from 1 species
GAUCAGCCCGCCGCGUGAGCGAUGAAGGCCUUCGGGUUGUAAAGCUCUUUCACCGGGGAAGAUAAUGACGGUACCCGGAGAAGAAGCCCCGGCUAACUUCGUGCCAGCGAGCCGCGGUAAUA